AUGGGAGCGGCGGUGAAGCGCGCGAGGGAGGAGGAGCCGGUGUCGCUGGCGCUGGCGCUCACCACGGACUCGGCGGCGUCGUCCACCACGUCGGCCGACUCGGCCGGGGCGGCGCCGGCCAGGAAGAGGGCGCGGCGGGGCAGAGUGGUGGCCACGUCGGGGGAGGGGGAGUUCGUCUGCAAGACCUGCAGCCGCGCCUUCGCCACGUUCCAGGCGCUGGGCGGGCACCGGACCAGCCACCUGCGCGGCCGCCACGGGCUGGAGCUCGGCGUCGGCGUCGCCAGGGCCAUCAAGGAGCGGAAGAAGCAAGAGGAGAAGCAGCACGAGUGCCACAUCUGCGGCCUCGGCUUCGAGAUGGGCCAGGCGCUGGGCGGACACAUGCGCCGGCACCGGGAGGAGAUGGCGCUGCGCGGCGGCGACGACGGCGAUCAGUGGGUGUGGCGCGGCGUCGGGCUGCCGGAUCAGGAGGCGGUGGCGCACCAGGCCGCCGCCAAUUACGAGCCGCCCGUCUUGCUCGAGCUGUUCGUCUAG
rnacentral:rRNA from 1 species